rnacentral:rRNA from 1 species
GACGGAGGAUGCAAGCGUUAUCCGGAAUGAUUGGGCGUAAAGCGUCCGCAGGUGGCCGUUCAAGUCUGCUGUCAAAGACCGGGGCUUAACUUCGGAAAGGCAGUGGAAACUGAACAGCUAGAGUAUGGUAGGGGCAGAGGGAAUUCCUGGUGUAGCGGUGAAAUGCGUAGAGAUCAGGAAGAACAUCGGUGGCGAAGGCGCUCUGCUGGACCAUUACUGACACUGAGAGACGAAAGCUAGGGGAGCAAAUGGG